rnacentral:misc_RNA from 1 species
GUAGGAUUGCUAAGUUGAUAUCUUCUAGCAAGAUUUAAUGAUCCAAAUGCACUUCUAUAAAUCGAAUCAUUCAUAGGGUUAAAUUCCAGUCCUGAAAUGAAAAGUACUCCAGAGUCUCUGUUUACAAGACACACAUGAAUGAUAUCAGUUGAAGAAAAAUGAACGAUCGAGUAUGUAUUCCAACCCAUAGCAUGUAGCCCUUGCACCUCCAUCCAAUAAUUAACCCCUAUAUACAAAUCAAACACCGGAGGUUGAUUCUUGCCAUUGUAAUUUCCAUAACAAAAGUGAGCUUUGAUGAAGCAAUUAUGAUUUUUUCCUUGUACAGGUCGCAGAGUGUAGCAAUUCUUUCUUCCCGUUGGAAAACUU